rnacentral:pre_miRNA from 1 species
AAAAAGACAAACCAUGUGUUUUCGUGUCCAACGUUUGACCGUCCGUCUUAUUUAAAAAAAUUAUAAAAAAAAUUAAAAAGACAAGUCAUGCAUAAAGUGUUAAUCAUGUUUUAUCAUCUAACAACAAUGAAAAUACUAAUUUAAAAAAAAUCAUAUAAGACGGACAAUCAAACAUUGGAUAUGAAAACCCAGGGUUUGUCUUUUU